AUGCGCGCUCCGGUUCGGCAUUUCCAGCAGUUAGGCUUGGGGAGAAUCGCCUGGGUCCUGGCUCUGGCAGAGUCCGGGUCUGUCACGAGCAGCGCUGUCCGGGAAGCCAGGGUCGUCCUGGGGCGGUCGCUGGCAGGCUCUCCGAGAUGCGCGGGGCCCUGGGCGCAUGGAAGUGCCCCACUUCCCGGGUGGUUGGAUGCCUGGCCCGCUGGUGGCUACUCCCCUGCAGGCGCCUCUCUCCUCGGUGCCCUCUUGUCGGGCACGAAUUCGCCGUCUGCACCCGUCCGUUCGUCCGUUCGUAGGAGGGCGCGCGGGAGGAAAGGACAUGCCUGGAGCCGGAAGACAGAAAGGAGAAGCAGGAGCCUGGUGGAGGAGUCGGAAGCUGGGAAGGAGGAGAAAAUGAAACGUUGCCUGAAGACAAUGGCCAAGACAGCAGGUCCCACCCAGCACAGCCGCCAGCACCUCUGCUCCAGCCCCAGCUCCUCCUCCACGGUCAGGAUCUGCACAUCACACCACUUGGUCCGCAGGAAGGAGAAAAAGAACCCCCAAACCAAUCUAUAGAAAAACGUGGCUGGCCAUGGACACACCGGGGAAGCUUAGACAGUUGAAGGUGGGAGAGGGCACCAAGGCGAAGGUUGGAGACACACUUUGCAUCUGCUGGCCCGGUAGACACAAGGCUGCAUCCACUCUGGGACCCCCACCUCUGCAUCCUGGGGCUUCUCCCCGGCUGCCAGCUAGGCGGAGAAGGGGAGAGGGGCCCAAGGCAGCUGCAGGGGCUGUGUUAGUAAACACUUUCCUGGGUUCCCAUUUUCUUCACCCCCCCCACCCCGCCUUCUCCAGUCCUGAUGCCCUGUUACCCGCCCACCCCCCCCACCACCCCCCCAGCAUCCCCUUUUCUGUGGCCUGCACAAUGAGCUCAUUGUCCUGGGUGUGAUUUGAAUAAGGGAUCGGCGGGCCUGUUCCCAGCAUUGUCCAAGGGGCUGGGAAAAACCCCAGCACAGGCAGGAGGACCAGACCAGACAGAGACAGAUGCCUAAAUUAGCAACAAAGCUUUGUGCACGUCCCCCGGACAAGGGCUCGCCUUGUUUGCGUGGACUCGAGGGUGUGGAGCUGGCC
rnacentral:lncRNA from 1 species